rnacentral:tRNA from 1 species
ACGAAAGAUUGGUGACUGGUAAGAAUCCACAACAAGUUGUUCUUCGAAGAUGUAUCUGAGGGUCUGUAGCUCAGUUGGUUAGAGCACACGCUGAUAAGCGGGGUCACAAGUUCAAGUCUUGUCAGACCCACCAAAUCUGAUAGCUGAAGCUGAGAUUAAGAUAUAUCGUUCAUUAUGAUUGUAAGCUGGGGACUUAGCUUAGUUGGUAGAGCGCCUGCUUUGCACGCAGGAGGUCAGGAGUUCGACUCUCCUAGUCUCCACCACGUACUUUACGAAGUACGGGCUAAAGAUUACAGAAUUUAGUAAGUUAAAAGCUUAUUAACUUCUGUGAUUUAUCACAGAUUACUACGCACCGACGAGGUGGUAGUUAAUCAUUAACAGAUUAGUAGAAUUGAGUCUGAAAUAAAUUGUUCACUCAUUCUUUGAUUUAAACAUUUCGAUGUUUAAGUUGAAUGAAAUGAGAACUAGCAAAAACACUGAAUCAAGCGUUUUGGUAUAUGAAUUUAGAUUGAAGCUGUACGGUGAUUAAGUUCACGAAACAACAAGCUGUAUGAAUUAAUGUUUACAUUGAUUCUGUUGCUACACCCACUUGUAGGUGUAACGACUGUUUGGGGUUGUAU